GCACCAAGGGGAUGGCCCAAGCCAUUCAUGAGGAAUCUGUUCCCAUGAUCCAAAUCCCUCCCACCAGGCCCCACCUCCAACGUUGGAGAUUAAAAUUCAGUAUGAGAUCUGGAGGGGAGAAACGUCCAAACUCUAUCAGAUAGUAAAUUGAUUUAAUGGUCAGGAAUGCAUUUGGUGGCCAGUCUUCCAGGGGGCCCAUGAAAGUUCAGGAUUUCUUCUGAAUUUUGUCCUUGGAGGUGUGGGAAGAAUGAAUAUUGAAUAUUCAUACUCAACAUGAAUAUUUUGGAAGCUGGGCCUGAAAGUUAAGGUUCACUGAAAGCUAAAAAUGAGAUGAACUCAGUGAAAGUACUGUGGAAAGAGGCACCUGGCUGGAUAUUUGAAUCUUCUUAACCCUGAGCUCUGCUUCAGUCUCAUCUGUUGUGUUCAUGACAUGACUCUCUAAUCACUAUGGGCAAUUGGGAAAAUGGUUAUUUUCAAAAAGAAAUUGACUUGUCUCUUCGUAGUUUAAUGUAGAAGCAGGUAUAGUUUGGUUAUGGUGAAAUCUGGUCCAAUGACGGCAUCCACAGAUGAGGCCAAAGCUUGAAUGCCCUUGGAGCCUAUACUGCUUUUAGGCCCUGGCAGAAACAUGGUUUUUAAAUCACAUUCCAAAGUGCAAUUACCAACAAUGAAUAAAUACAUCAUAACAAUGGGGGAAGCAGAAAAUGACUUUAGAAAGACAGAGUGAUCUUUUGAGACACAGUCUAUAUAAUUCCUAGGAAGCCCUGAUAGUAUCUUCUUGGGAAAUCUCCCUGCUGCAGGAAACUGCCUUCCUAGAUUUUACCUCACUGCCUCUAGUUGCAGUUACUUCAGGUAAACAGACCUCCUUUUAACUGUGACUCUUCCUCAGAGAACCAAAAUAUGCUUUGUUUUUUCUUGGGCCCUAUAGGAUCCUGGUUUGGGAUAAAUCUCAUAUGUCUAUUUUCCAAAGAUCAUUUUGGUUUCUCUGUAUUUGUAAAUGCACUUGAUUGUAAUCACAAAAGAAAAGACAGUGAUGCACUGUGUUGGCUCUGAAGAAAAACAUUGACCAGACAGAAAGUCUUCCCCAUAGCCAAACUGAGCUGUAAUGACCGUGCUUUUCAUUUCUCCCAGGAAAUAGUAAUAUAAUUGGUCACUGUAUUACAGUAAACAGUUUGUUCAUUCUUUGUUCAGUAGAAAAUGUUUGGGAGAUAUGUCUCACAUAAUAUGCUGGCUUCACGAUAAUAAAGACUGGGAAUAGAUUUGUUUCUAA
rnacentral:lncRNA from 10 species